rnacentral:rRNA from 1 species
UAAGCGGAGGAAAAGAAACUAACAAGGAUUCCCCUAGUAACUGCGAGUGAAGCGGGAAAAGCUCAAAUUUAAAAUCUGGUGGUCUUUGGCCAUCCGAGUUGUAAUUUAGAGAAGCGUCUUNCGCGCUGGACCGUGCACAAGUCUCCUGGAAUGGAGCGUCAUAGAGGGUGAGAAUCCCGUCUUUGGCAUGGACACACCAGGGCUUUUGUGAUGCGCUCUCGAAGAGUCGAGUUGUUUGGGAAUGCAGCUCAAAAUGGGUGGUGAACUCCAUCUAAAGCUAAAUAUUGGCGAGAGACCGAUAGCGAACAAGUACCGUGAGGGAAAGAUGAAAAGCACUUUGGAAAGAGAGUAAAACAGUACGUGAAAUUGUUGAAAGGGAAACGCUUGAAGUCAGUCACGUCGACCGAGACUCAGCCUUGCCUCGGCUUGGUGUACUUCUCGGCUGACGGGUCAGCAUCAAUUUUGCCCCUUGGAUAAUGGCGAGGGAAAUGUGACACCUUUAUGGUGUGUUAUAGUCUCUCGUCGCAUGCAAGGGUUGGGAUUGAGGAACUCAGCACGCGCCCUUUGGGUGUCGGGGCUUUGCCCACGAUACGUGCUUAGGAUGUUGGCAUAAUGGCUUUAAACGACC